CCUACGGGAGGCAGCAGUAGGGAAUGUUCGGCAAUGGGGGGAACCCUGACCGAGCAACGCCGCGUGAAAGAAGAAGUUAGUCGGAAUGUAAAGUUCUUUUAACAGGGAAGAAAGAGAAAUUGGACGGUACCUGAAGAAUAAGCGCCGGCUAACUCCGUGCCAGCAGCCGCGGUAAGACGUAGGGAGCGAGCGUUAUCCGGAUUUAUUGGGCGUAAAGGGUGCGUAGAUGGCAUAGUAAGUCUUUUGUAAAAAUGCUGGGCUCAACCCAGUAGGGCAACAGAUACUGCAAAGCUAGAGUAUGACAGAGGCAAGUGGAACUACAUGUGUAGCGGUCAAAUGCGUACAUAUCUG
rnacentral:rRNA from 1 species